CAAGGUAAGCUGUCAUCAGUUGGAGGUAAGCGGAAGACAGUAGAGAGUACAGAGCCCUGGACUGUGACUCAGAGGAUGAGCACCAGAUCCAGUUUGCUGUGCCACAGUG
rnacentral:sRNA from 1 species